rnacentral:rRNA from 1 species
UGAUAGAAUAUACGAAGGUUGUUGCAGUUGAAAAGCUCGUAGCUGAACUUCUGUCAAGCGAUCUCUGAAUACCGGGAACGGCUGUUGCAGAGCAUCGUUGGCACAUGUCCGUGCCCAUUAGAUUCUUUAUUGAAUUUAAAUGGUAGGACAAGUUACUUUGCGUAAAUUAGAGUGUUUCAAGCAAGCUAUUGCGUUGAAUAUUGCAGCAUGGAAUAACAAAAUAAGCUUCGUCUUUGCUUUGUUGGUUUAAGAGCCAUUGCUAUGAUUAAUAGGAACAGAUGGGGGCAUUCGUAUUCAACAGUCAGAGGUGAAAUUCUUAGAUUUGUUGAAGACGAGCUAAUGCGAAAGCAUUUGCCAAAGAUGUUUUCAUUAG